rnacentral:misc_RNA from 1 species
UUUCCGUAGGUGAACCUGCGGAAGGAUCAUUAAAAAAUAUCACUUGAUUGAGAGUGAUUUAAUAAUCAUCCUACCCUUUGUGAAUUUGUUGUUUGUAAUAAUUUUUUUUUGACGUUAUAAAAAAAAAUUAUUUAUGGUUUUGUCUAUCCCUAAAUUGGUUUGUUGUAGACAAGUGAAUCAAUUUAGGGAAUAGGCUUUCAUAAAUAAUGAUUUUUUUUCAAAGUCUUAAAGACCUUUUUUAAAAUUAAACUUUUGUAUUCAUUUGUCUAAAUUUUUUUAAAUAAUUUAAAAACAACUUUUGACAAUGGAUCUCUUGGUUCUCGCAACGAUGAAGAACGCAGCAAAAUGCGAUAAGUAAUGUGAAUUGCAGAAUACGUGAAUCAUCAAAUCUUCGAACGCAUAUUGCACUUUUUUAGUUUACUAAAAAAGUAUGUCUGUUUGAGUAUCAGUAAAAUAUUCUCAUAAAAACAUUUUUUGUUUUUAUGGUUAUGAGUGUCUUACAACGAUAAACAAGUUGUUUCACUUUAAAUUCAUUUUAAUUUAAGACCAUUUAUGGUUUUAAUAAAAAAUUGGAUAAAAUUUUCCCGUAAAAAGGAAUAAACUUUUCAGUUUUUUAAUUAUUACCAACAACGGUCCGAUUUAAAAGGAAAUUUAUUUAAAUAACUUGAUCUCAAAUCAGAUAAGAGUACCCGCUGAACUUAAGCAUAUCAAUAAGCGGAGGAAAAGAAACUAACAAGGAUUCCCUUAGUAACGGCGAGUGAAGCGGGAAGAGCUCAAAUUUGAAAUCUUCAAGGUUCUACCUUGACGAAUUGUAGUUUAAAGAAGUGUUUUCUGUUAGAUGAGUAGCAAAAGUUCCUUGGAAUGGGACAUCGUAGAGGGUGAGAAUCCCGUAUUUGGUUAUUCAUUCUAGCUUUGUGAUACACUUUCAAAGAGUCGGAUUGUUUGGGAAUGCAGUCCAAAAUGGGUGGUAAAUUUCAUCUAAAGCUAAAUAUUGGCGAGAGACCGAUAGCGAACAAGUACCGUGAGGGAAAGACGAAAGAACUUUGAAAAGAGAGUUAAACAGUACGUGAAACUGUCAAAAGGGAAGCGUUUGACACCAGUGUUGUUUUUCCAAAAAUCAAUUACGAAUGGCUUGAUUUUGUGUUGUAUUGACCUUAUCAGCUUCUGCACUUUUUUCGAGUCUUUCUUAAUGCACUUUUUGGUUAACAAGUCAACAUCAAUUUCUUUUGUUGUAAAAGAGUAUUCGGAAGGUGGCUUCUUUUCGGAGAAAGUGUUUAUAGCCCUAUACUUCUACAAUCGGAGAGAUUGAGGUCUGCAGCGUAGAUCCUUCGGGGUUAGAUACACUUGUGCUAAGUUGUAGCUUUUCAUAGACAACUUGUUGACUAUGUUUAGUCAUGCGGCUUACUCGCUUGUGCUAUUU